CACCGGGGCGCACCGGGGCGCACCAAGACGCACCAAGGCGCACCAAGACGCACCAAGGCGCACCGGGGCGCACCAAGGCGCACCGUGCCGAACCGGGCCGUGCCGUGCCGCACCGUGCCGAGCCGUGCGGGAUUGGCUGGCCCGCGGCCACCUGGCUCCUCCCCAGCCCCCUGCGGCUAUAACGGGCCGGGCGGCGCCGGUCCCGGUCCCGCAGCGCCGCGCCCCGAGCCGCAGGCAUGGCCCAGCCCGGGGGGGCCCCGGCGCUGGCUGCGGCCGCCGUCCUCCUGCUCCUGACCACCGCCACCGCCGAUGGUAAGGGGCUGGGGGCGCGGGGGGGUGGGGGGGGCU
rnacentral:lncRNA from 1 species